rnacentral:sRNA from 1 species
GGGUUCCUGAGUGGAACAUGGCGACUUGCGCCGAAAUCCUGCGGAGCGAGUUCCCCGAAAUUGACGGACAAGUCUUCGACUACGUGACCGGCGUCUUGCACAGCGGCAGCGCGGACUUCGAGUCUGUGGAUGACCUAGUGGAAGCUGUAGGGGAACUAUUGCAAGAGGUGUCCGGGGACAGCAAGGAUGACGCGGGCAUCAGGGCCGUGUGCCAGCGCAUGUACAACACUCUGCGUCUGGCUGAGCCACAAAGCCAGGGAAAUAGCCAGGUGCUACUGGACGCCCCUAUCCAGUUGUCAAAGAUAACGGAGAACUACGGGAGAAGGUGACUGCUUUUCUUAUCGCUUACAGACUGUGGAACCAAACUUCCAGGACUGCUAAAGAGGGAACAGUCCUCGGUGAGGAGGAGGAAGCAAGGGAGGGGACUGUAUGUGAUGGGGUUGGGAGUUGACUGUCUAAUUGCAGUAUCUUUUUGGGGGAUUUCUGACUAUGUCUUUUCCUAAGCCUUUGAGUCUGUUCAUCAUGGGUAAGUUAAGAGGGUUUACUCGAGAUGUUCUCUCUUGGGGUU